GUGAAUUAAACAUGCUUGGCGUCUUCGCUUCGGCAAGGCCCUUGCUUAAAUCACAUCCUAACACCUGUGAACUGUAAGACGUAUGAUGAGGUCUUUGGCCAAGUCAUCGUCUGCCCAUUUUUAACAAACAAUUAAUGUAACAAACGUAGUCUUAUUAUAACCUAAU
rnacentral:misc_RNA from 1 species